rnacentral:rRNA from 1 species
CGUGUAGGCGGUUUGGCAAGUCAGGGGUGAAAUGCCUCGGCUCAACCGGGGACCUGCCUUUGAAACUGCCAGACUUGAGGCCGUGAGAGGAGACUGGAAUUCCCAGUGUAGCGGUGAAAUGCAUAGAUAUUGGGAAGAACACCAGUGGCGAAGGCGAGUCUCUGGCACGGUUCUGACGCUGAUGCGCGAAAGCUAGGGGAGCAAACG